rnacentral:rRNA from 1 species
GAUGAACGCUGGCGGCGUGCUUAACACAUGCAAGUCGAACGAAGCACUUAAGAUUGAUUCUUCGGAUGACGUCUUUUGUGACUUAGUGGCGGACGGGUGAGUAACGCGUGGGUAACCUGCCUCACACAGGGGGAUAACAGUUAGAAAUGACUGCUAAUACCGCAUAACCCGAUAGGAUCGCAUGAUCCAGACGGAAAAGAUUUAUCGGUGUGAGAUGGACCCGCGUCUGAUUAGCUAGUUGGUGAGGUAACGGCCCACCAAGGCGACGAUCAGUAGCCGGCUGGAGAGGGGGAACGCCCACAUGGGGACUGAGCCACGCCCAAACCCCCUAGGGGGGGAAGGGGUGGGGAAUAUUGCAAAAUGGGGAAAACACGGAUCCAGCGACGCCGGGGGAGGAAAAAAGUAUUGGGGUAUGAAAAGCUCUAUCAGAAGGAAAAAAAAGGCCGUACCCUGACUAAGAGCCCCGGACAACCAACGGC